rnacentral:rRNA from 1 species
GUAGGUGGCAAGCGUUGUCCGGAUUUAUUGGGUUUAAAGGGUGCGUAGGCGGCUUUGUAAGUCAGUGGUGAAAUAUGGCAGCUCAACUGUCAAGGCGCCAUUGAUACUGCGGAGCUUGAGUACAGAUGAGGUAGGCGGAAUUGACGGUGUGGCGGUGAAAUGCUUAGAUAUCGUCAAGAACACCUAUAGCGAAGGCAGCUUACUAGGCUGUAACUGACGCUGAGGCACGAAAGUGUGGGGAUCAAACAGGAUUAGAUACCCUGGUAGUCCACACUGUAAACGUUGAUUACUCGCUGUGUGCGAUAUACAGUACGCGGCCAAGCGAAAGCGCUAAGUAAUCCACCUGGGGAGUACGCCGGCAACGGUG